GUUGGAUAGAAGCCUCCUCUACAUCCAGGGAAACUGCUGACACUGUUGCCUCCAUCCUCAUUGAGCAGAUCAUUCCCAGGUUCGAACUUCCCGCCUCCAUCCAGUCAGACAACAGUCCUGCCUUCACUUCUCAGGUUGUUCAACUAGUCUCCAAAGGCCUCAAUGUCACUUGGAGGCUCCACAUCUCCUACCAACCCCAAUCCUUGGGCUCAAACCAUGCAUCCGGGAAACUGAUUCUGGCAACAUCGGACCAGAGGACUCGCAAGAAUCCACACCUACAUACUCUUGCUCUCCCCACCCAUCUGACCCUUUAAAAAUUCAUCUCUCUCGUGGUUUUGCCCAUACACCCAUAGUUGAGAACAUAUCCAAAAAUAUACCUUAACUUUCUGAUCCUCAUCCUCAUCCUCACCCCAAGGGUAACGCCUUCGCCACCGUAUGUCUGGAGAUUCAAGGUGAGAGAAACAUACACACAAAAAUCACCCGGACCACUCGCUUGGCUACCGCUUCUGACUAUCCCCUAACAGGGUGCUCCUCAGCCAUCUAUAUUGUACUCUCUUCCUCUUCCUCUGAGCUCAUUAAGCAAGCCAGCCACCCUUACUUAUGCUUUUUGUAUGACCAAAAUAAGGAUUACUGCAAACAGUGGCCGGAAACCUUCGGAAGCUGCCCCUAUUGGUCAUUUAGAAUUC
rnacentral:lncRNA from 1 species